UACGUCUGCAAAUACGAGAUGUUUCGAUGAGUUUUGUAUGCUCUCUCUGAUCAGAAUGCGCAUCUCUUGUUUACACAAUUUUCAUCCUUUUUAUCGCACCUUUUCAUCUCUUGUUCACACAGUUAUUGCCUAUUCUACAUGAUAAUUAUUUUUCUUGUCUUUUUAUAUCUUGUUUACACAAUUUUCAUCCUUUUUAUCGCACCUUUUCAUCUCUUGUUCACACAGUUAUUGCCUAUUCUACAUGAUAAUUAUUUUUCUUGUCUUUUUAUAUUUUUUUUCCUAGAUUUCAUAUCUCUAAUGACAUCGGCCAUCUAUUUGAAGCUUGCGAGAAGUUCAUAUAUUACUUUUAGCAGAAAUGGAUUAAAUGAUGUCAUUUUGUGUUCCCGAGUUUGCUUUUGAGAUUGUUUUGCUGCAUAUGAUUUUAAACAGUGGUGUAAAAUUAUAAAUUUUGGAUCGGACUGGUUGUUCUGGGAACUAGUAAUAUAACCUGAGUGGGAUGUUUGAUCAGAAGUGUUACAGAAUUGGUGUGAUUCAGUGUGACUUGGUCAGUUUUCUAGUGGCAUAGUAAAUUACUGGCAAGGCCCAAAAUCAUGCUGUAAAUCUGAAUGUACUCAUUACUCUCUAUUAGUUGAGUUAAGGUAAAGCAGUAUGUUGCUAAUAUCAUGAGAGUUGUUAGACAAUUUAUUUACUACAUUGGACCCUUUGUGCCAGAAGAAGCGCAAAUCAGGAUUACUUUUAACAGCCAAUCACAUCCAUGCAUUGUUAUUGUUUUAAGUAAAAGAUAAAUGUUGAUAAUACAUUCCAAGCCCCCCGUUAAAAGAGAAAAGGCAAAUGUACAAAUUGCAAUUAUAUUGAAAUGUUAAUAAUAUUUAGUGGGAGGGCAUGGGGUGGAUAUACCUUACCUCUAACAGACAUGAGGAUGUGUACAAAAUUUUAUUUCUGUCAAGAGUUUGGGGACGAGAAUGAUAGCUAGGUUGGAGAGCAUGACUUAUAAUGUGACAAAAAAUAUUUUUAUGCAAAUAAGAAAUGAAACAUCAGCAUUUAAAAAAAGAAGAAAUGAAAGAUCAAAUAAUCAUAUUACAAAUUUUGGAGGGAUUACUAAGAUAUGCCCUCUUCUCUUGUAUUUGCACAGAAGUGAAAUAAUUCAGGGGUUUUAGAUAUCUACAAGGCACAAUUUUGAAAGGCUAGGAUUUUGGAAUUUAAGUUUUAUUGGGUUAGAUAAAACAUAGUCCAUGGGCUUGGAAACCCUUAUUACAGACAUCUGAGUUGUACUAGAGGGACA
rnacentral:lncRNA from 1 species